CCUACGGGUGGCUGCAAUUAGGAAUCUUGCGCAAUGGAGGAAACUCUGACGCAGCGACGCCGCGUGAAGGAUGACGCAUUUCGGUGUGUAAACUUCUUUUGCUUAUGACGAAGAAUGUGACGGUAAUAAGCGAAUAAGCCCCGGCUAACUACGUGCCAGCAGCCGCGGUAAUACGUAGGGGGCGAGCGUUGUCCGAAGUUACUGGGCGUAAAGCGCGCGUAGGCGGCCAUUUAAGUUUGAGGUGAAAGGUUCAGCGCUCAACGUGAACAGUGCCU
rnacentral:rRNA from 1 species